UUUGAAUUUUCAUCCUGCAGAAUCUCUCAAUUAUGCUCUAAAUGACAAGCCCGGGCAUACAGACACCAGUUGUGCCGAUGAAGACAGAGGUCAAGGAAUCGAUCUCCCAGAGAGCCCAUUUUCAUUUCCAGUAGAUAGUGGAAUUUCAACAGUCAUAUAGAUUCCGAAGGAAAAGGACUUUGGAGAGACACAGAGUUAAAAUUGCACCAGCCAAAAAAAAAAAAAAAAAAGAGAAACAUCUUUAGUUUUGCUUUCUUCCCCCCCAGUUUUCUGAAGCACAGGCCAUAUCAUCAGUUUCCUUUGUCGAGUAGCUCGUCGACUAAGCCUCUGUUCAGCUCCAACAGAUACAUACUAGCGAAAGAAGAAGAAGAACAAGAAACAAGGAAGAAUUUCCUCUUUAGUUCCUGACAAUGGGUGUCUGACAAAUAGAAAUAUGAUAUGAUAUAUGUAAGAAUGUUAUAGUUUUUUGGGUAAUAUAUCACGAGUUCUACUUGUCAAAAGGCUGAGUUAACAAGACUGUUCUAGAUUGUCACUUCAGAGUGAAAGGCUCAAUCUUUUGAAAUGUAGUGUUCUAUAGAUGAGUUACCCUAAUGUUUUUUAGUUACAGGAAGAAGGCAAAGGGUUUGGUUUUUAGCUAGGAAGAUCCUUAUGAAGUCAUUUAGUAUAUGAAAGAAACUACAUCGUAGUUUUCUUGUUGAAGUAUCUUGGAAUUUGUGGAUCUGGACAGAGAUGAACCAUUUGAAUUACUUACUGAUAAAAGUUUUAAUAAUAAUAGCUUACACUACUUCUAUCUGAAGUGUUUGUCA